rnacentral:rRNA from 1 species
UACGAAGGGGGCUAGCGUUGCUCGGAAUCACUGGGCGUAAAGGGCGCGUAGGCGGACUUUUAAGUCAGGGGUGAAAUCCUGAGGCUCAACCUCAGAACUGCCUUUGAUACUGAGGGUCUCGAGACCGGUAGAGGUAAGUGGAACUGCGAGUGUAGAGGUGAAAUUCGUAGAUAUUCGCAAGAACACCAGUGGCGAAGGCGGCUUACUGGACCGGUU